GUGUCAGCCGCCGCGGUAAUACGUAGGGUGCGAGCGUUAAUCGGAAUUACUGGGCGUAAAGCGUGCGCAGGCGGUUUCGUAAGACAGCUGUGAAAUCCCCGGGCUUAACCUGGGAACUGCGGUUGUGACUGCGAGACUAGAGUCAGGCAGAGGGGGGUGGAAUUCCACGUGUAGCAGUGAAAUGCGUAGAGAUGUGGAGGAACACCGAUGGCGAAGGCAGCCCCCUGGGCUAUGACUGACGCUCAUGCACGAAAGCGUGGGGAGCAAACAGGAUUAGAUACCCCCGUAGUCC
rnacentral:rRNA from 1 species